UGCCCAAUGCGGGAAUCGAACCCGGGUCGUAGCGGUCGAAAACCAACGGUUUAGACCAUCCUUAACCAACCC